AUUGAACGCUGGCGGCAGGCUUAACACAUGCAAGUCGAGCGAGCGGCGGACGGGUGAGUAAUGUAUGGGGACUGCCCGAUCGAGGGGGAUAACUACUGGAAACGGUGGCUAAUACCGCCUCCUAUUGGAUAACCCAUAUGGGCUGAGCUAGUAGGUGGGGUAAAGGCUCACCUCGGCGACGAUCUGUAGCUGGUCUGAGCGGAUGAUCGGCCACACUGGGACAGAGACACGGCCCAGAGUCCCACGGAGGCAGCAGUGGGGAAUAGUGCACAAUGGGCGCAAGCCUGAUGCAGCCAUGCCGCGUGUAUGAAGAGGGCCUUAAGGUUGUCAAGUACUUAAAGUGUGGAGGGGUUACCCGCAGAAGAAGCACCGGCUAACUCCGUGCCAGCAGCCGCGGUAAUAC
rnacentral:rRNA from 1 species